AUUUCCGAUGAAGCUGAAAAUUUGCAUAUAUAUGUAAGUCGAGUGACAAUGUAAUAUUAUGGUACCAUCGAGCUGAUCUGAUGAUGGAGACAGAAGCCAUAGGAACUAUGUGAUAAAACAACGCAACCUAAUUGUGUUUGGGGUUUUUAGAAUUGUCUCGAUGAGUGUUAGUUGCCUGUGGAAAGAAAAGUACAGUCAGCGAUAAAAGCUUGUACCAAUUUUU